GCCAGCUGCUCCCCAGGAAGUCAGAAACGGAGCCGGAGAUCAGAUCGGCGUCCGUAUAUAUGUGUACCUAAGAAACACCGAUGACACUUGCGAGGUCCACCGGCAGCAAGAUAAACAAAGCCACGGAGCUGCAUGGGCAGUCACUGACGGCGAGGACACAGCAGCGGCACAUAAACGCUGACGCGUGACAUGUUGUGGGCCGGCUAAGGUUUAUAGACGUGCCGAGUUCAGACACUGGAGUCCAUACACUCCUGUACUGUUGUCAAAACACCAUGACUUGGCAAAACAAAAACAGUAAUUUGGCGUCUUAAAGUAUAGCCUGCUGGAUUUCCAUCGGCAUCACCUUGGCCGCAAUGACGGGGAUCCACGCCCGGCGGAGGAACGGUAAAUACUGCCGACUGUGGGGUGAAGAAGUCGACGCGUGACCGGGUCGCUGCGGAUGGACGGUGGUAGCGUGGUUCAGGCUGCGCUCCCGGCGUGGACGCCCAAUGCUGCGGUCAGCACAAACGACACGCGUUUCACCUUAGCCAAGCAUUAUGUGCAUCUCUGGCUGCGGCUUGCUGCUGUGAGAUCCAGAGAUGUUGGCGUGUCUGAACUGGAGUCCGUGGUGAACCGCAGGGACGCGUCUCAUCGCGUCCGGGGGACGCGCUCCCUCGGAUGAGAACGGACAGCGGCACAGAAACGCCGGCACCUUCCGGGUGACCUUAAGGAGGGACCGCUCUAGGAGAAGAUGGCAGCCAAGCAGAAGACAUGCAAGUUUUCUUUUGUUGUUUCAUUAAACCUGAGCCAGGCCCUUAAUCCCCGAUUACCCCAGGGACUGUCUGACUGCGUUCUAUCAAAAAAUGUAUGUCACUUUGGGUAAAAGCAUUUGCUAAAUGAAAUGCAAAUAGGCCAUCAAAUUAAUGACUCAUCUGAAGAACAUAGCGCCCCCUACAGUAUCGGAGUGUAGAGCACCAUUAGACUCCAUUGUGCCGACUUUGAUCACCCUGGUUGAGUCUUCAGAAGCGGUUCUUCACAUUUGCUUCUCACCAUUCAUCCCUUGGCGUGUUCAUUUCCAUCACAGCUCUCCACCAAUGGCGCGCCACUCAGUGUUAUUCGUGGAAUUCAAACGUGGGAUCUGACUUUUUUUUUGCUCCUUAUCUCCCUUCUGAUGAAAUCAGAGAGCGCCUGUGGUUUUGGGGGAAAAGGUCCCUGGUGGGUUAGGAGACCUCAAGCCCCUCCUUUCAGUGGGCAGGCAGAAAUCAAAACAUGUUUUGAUAAUCUUCGCGACCUUUUUUAGACACCCUGGUGUUUUUCAGCCCAGGCCCACGUCUCAUAAUGCCAGACUUCUGAUUUCAAAACUCUUAGCAUACUCAAGUUCACUUCAGCUAGCAGAUAUUCCACGAGCCCCCUCCGUGGUCUUACCUGCCGCUCUGUUCCUCCUGAAGCAAAAAAAGUUUGUCUUCAUCACAUCUAUUUUCCAAACCGCUUAUCCUUCUAGGUCGCGGGGGGUUCAGAGCCUAUCCCAGAAGCAAUGGGCACGAGGCAGGGAACAACCCAGGAUGGGGGGCCAGCCCAUCGCAGGGCACACUCACACACCAUUCACUCACACAUGCACACCUACGGGUAAUUUAGUAACUCCAAUUAGCCUCAGUCAGUCUUUGGACUGUGGGGGGAAACCGGAGUAAACGGAGGAAACCCCACGACGACAUGGGGAGAACAUGCAAACUCCGCACACAUGUGACCCAGGCGGAGACUCGAACCCGGCUCCCAGAGGUGUGAGGCAACAGUGCUAACCACUGCACCACCAUGCCACCCCUUACAGUGCUAACCACUGCACCGCCAUGCCACCCCUUACAGUGCUAACCACUGCACCGCCAUGCCACCCCUUACAGUGCUAACCACUGCACCACCAUGCAGCCCCCUCUUCAGCACAUAUCAACUGUAAUGUUCGAAGGUGUUUAAAAAAAAAAGAGAAUUAGACCUCAGUCCAUCAAAAGCUAUUAGUGGCUCAACCCCUCUAUAAACGGUCAAUAUGAAGCAAUGUCCCAGAAACACAGGUUCCUCACUGGUCUUACAGAGUGUUAAGCGGGCAAUUAGCGUUUCCUGAGUGGCGUGUGGCCACGUCCUGUGUUUCAUGCUCACUGCGUGGGCGUGUGGCCGGUCCGCCUCACUACUUGUGUGCUUUCUGUUGUACAGUAAGUAGAGGACAGAGCCAGCCGCACACUGGUAGCACCAGUGCCAGGACACAGUUUUUUAAAGUGUGUGGCAUAAUAGGAGCCAUAGUUCAUACAGAGUAGCCAACUUUAUCAUCAGCCAAUCAUGCUUUGAAUUGGCGUGUGACAGGAGAGCGGCACUCCGGGGACCAAUCAGCUUUCAGCUGGGGCCGGUGUCCCUGUGGCCCCACCCCCAUAUACGCCCCCUUCGGGAAGCACUUCUGACUGACACUCUCCACCCACCCCCCAGCCCCCCUUAUAUACCUGCUUGCAGAGGAGGACUUAGUCUGAAUUAGGGUGAUCAUUAAUGAAGUGUUUCCCAAUCCGAUCCUAGGGGACCCACAGUCGGUCCAUGUUUUUGCUCCCUCCAAGAUCCCUGCCUGAUAUUCCGCUGGGAGGAAGUAAAAACAUGGACUGGCUGUGGGUCCCCGAGGACUGGAUUGGGAAACACUUCAUUAAUGAGUUUGAUUUCUCCUCAAAUUAAUACGUAGCAGUACAGUAGGUAUUGUGACGAUUAAGGGCCUUUGAGCGACGUCCUUAACCUGAAUUGCCUCAGUAAAAAAUCCAGUUUUAAUAAGCCAGUGUUGCAGCUUUUUGGUUGUUUGAGGAGCCGAUACUGGUCCCCAGCCUUUGGGAGCUGCACUCAGUAAGCUGCCAUGAAGUUGUGCUCUCCGCAGAUGCAGAUCCACUCGUCUGCUGUUAAUUAGCUUCGUUAACCUUUAGAUUCCAUCUUCAUCUGCCUGUUUUGUGUUUAAACGCUAACUAAUCGGUGUUGGAGGGCCAUCACGCUUCCGAGAAGCCACCAUGGUGGGAUGCUGUCCUCACAGCGGUCAGUCACUGAAGGACAGCUGGCCUGAAGACCAGGAGAGUACGGACUAUGGAUUCCAGCGUCACGCCCUCUUAUUCAUGGGCUUGUCCUGAAAAUGCAUUUUUGGGACCUGAAAUUGGGGAUUUCAGCUUGGUUCAUGUUGACAUUUGCUUUCUGCAAGCUGAAACAUCUUCUAUGUGUAUAUACAGACGCUCUCGGGUUACGAUGGUCCACGUUACGAUAUUUCGCUUUUACGACGGGUACAUGUAUUUCGCUCUCAGUACAUUAUUCAAUAAUUUGCAUGACAUAUUCAACUUUUUAUUAUGAAAUAGGCUUUGUGUUGAUGAUUUUGCCCGACUGUGAGCUAAUGUGAGUGCUCUAAGCAUGUUUAAGGUCUGCUAGGCUAGGCUAUGAUGUUUGUUAGGUUAGGUGUACUGUAUUAAUGCAUUUUCGACCCCACCGUAAUCUGGGGAGAGACCGUAUUUGCAUUGCUUUGAUGCCUCUCUUUACAUCCGGCCUCCAGUGUCCUCUCCUUUGAAAACAAACAUGUGGUCACCUUAUCCAGCGUGACGUGUAUCCUUCAGUUAUUGUUCUACAUUUUGGAAAAAUAGAGAAAUGACAGUGUGUUGAGGCAGCCCCCCCCUCCUAAGAGCUGCUGCAGAGGCCCCAGAGCAGGUGGGGAGUUGGCUUUCAAGGCCAGCGAUGACGGGUAGGUGAAUGACGUAAGUCUCAUCUGAAAUGUGCUCUUUCACUUCGGAUGCUUAAUAAACAUUUACUCACGAUUCACCCACAGAUCACCCGGCUUAGUCGAUGACGGUUUGUUUCACCUCUAAAAUAUCCGUACGCUGAACAAUUGGCUGCACAUGGAAGUGAAAUUAUGAAAUUAGUGACAUUUAGAAAUAUUUAAAACAGAGUAUCGGCAUAAUGAGGCAGUCUCAGGCAUCUAAUUGUUGGUUCAUUAGCAUGAUUGUCGUGGUCUUUUGAUAGCUGCGUUUGUUUCGCGUGUUUUAUGUGGUAAUGUGCUUCCAGUAGAUGUUUGUGUUCAAUUAUUUACUCUGUUGAAAAUGCUGUAAACGAUUUUCAUUUAUAUCAACGGCUUUUUAGGAACCUGUCCUGGUUGAAACUCCUGGCUUGGUGUAGACUGUAGACUCCUGCUAUAAAGCCAAACACGUAGUGAACAGUGGCUAAAAUAAGUCCUAAAUAGUGAACUACAUUUAAAUCCGCAUUUGUUAAUCUAUUUGGUAACCUGAUGAUAGAUUCAUUAAUCUGCGACCAAGAAGAACAUCAUAGAUGCGGGGGCUCUGUUGAAGAAGAACACUUUAUUGACAGUCCCAGUUCUCUGUGCCCCAUUUGCUGCCUAUGAGACACAUGUA